AAGACUAUAUUUUCAGGGAUCAUUUCUAUAGUUCGUUACUAGAGAAGUUUCUCUGAUCGUGUAGAGCACCCAAGAUCAGGAGGAAGAAUCAGAACAUCUUCUUCUGAGCAUCAAGCCAGUUCUAGGUAUUGCUUUUGUAAUUGCCUUUUAACAUGAAUACUUGGUCUUCUCUUCCCUUGGAAGAGUGAGAGAGAGGACAUAGUCCGAGUAGU